GAUCAUUACAGAGUUACCUAACUCCAAACCCAUGUGAACUUACCUAUGUUGCCUCGGCGGGGAAGCCUACCCGGUACCUACCCUGUAGCUACCCGGGAGCGAGCUACCCUGUAGCCCGCUGCAGGCCUACCCGCCGGUGGACACUUAAACUCUUGUUUUUUAGUGAUUAUCUGAGUGUUUAUACUUAAUAAGUUAAAACUUUCAACAACGGAUCUCUUGGUUCUGGCAUCGAUGAAGAACGCAGCGAAAUGCGAUAAGUAAUGUGAAUUGCAGAAUUCAGUGAAUCAUCGAAUCUUUGAACGCACAUUGCGCCCAUUAGUAUUCUAGUGGGCAUGCCUGUUCGAGCGUCAUUUCGACCUUCAAGCCCUAGCUGCUUGGUGUUGGGAGCCUAUCUCCGGAUAGCUCCUCAAAAGCAUUGGCGGAGUCGCGGUGACCCCAAGCGUAGUAAUUCUUCUCGCUUUAGGUGUGUCACGGCUGACGUCUUGCCGUUAAACCCCCAAUUU
rnacentral:rRNA from 1 species